GAUGAACGCUGGCGGCGUGCCUAAUACAUGCAAGUCGAGCGAACAGACGAGGAGCUUGCUCCUUCGACGUUAGCGGCGGACGGGUGAGUAACACGUAGGUAACCUACCUAUAAGACUGGGAUAACUUCGGGAAACCGGUGCUAAUACCGGAUAAUAUUUCGAACCGCAUGGUUCGAUAGUGAAAGAUGGCUUUGCUAUCGCUUAUAGAUGGACCUGCGCCGUAUUAGCUAGUUGGUAAGGUAACGGCUUACCAAGGCAACGAUACGUAGCCGACCUGAGAGGGUGAUCGGCCACACUGGAACUGAGACACGGUCCAGACUCCUACGGGAGGCAGCAGUAGGGAAUCUUCCGCAAUGGGCGAAAGCCUGACGGAGCAACGCCGCGUGAGUGAUGAAGGUCUUCGGAUCGUAAAACUCUGUUAUUAGGGAAGAACAAACGUGUAAGUAACUGUGCACGUCUUGACGGUACCUAAUCAGAAAGCCACGGCUAACUACGUG
rnacentral:rRNA from 1 species